rfam:Brachypodium distachyon strain Bd21 chromosome 5, whole genome shotgun sequence.
UCGUUACUUUCUCCGUCCAACAAAGGAUGUCUCAAAUUUGACUAAAUUUGGAUGCAUCUAUACACUAAGUCAUGUCUAGAUACAUUCAAAUUUUGAUAAACACACAUCUUUUGUUGAACGGAGAGGAGUACAUU